rnacentral:snRNA from 1 species
GUGCUUGCUUGGCAGCACAUAUACUAAAACUGGAACGAUACAGAGAAGAUUAGCAUGGCCCCUGCACAAGGAUGACACGCAAAUUCGUGAAGCGUUCCAUAUUAAA